rnacentral:rRNA from 1 species
UACGUAGGUGGCAAGCGUUGUCCGGAAUUAUUGGGCGCAAAGCGCGCGCAGGUGGUUUCUUAAGUCCGAUGUGAAAGCCCCGGGCUUAACCUGGGAAUGGCAUUGGAAACUGGCGGGCUUGAGUGCGGCAGAGGGGGGUGGAAUUCCGCGUGUAGCAGUGAAAUGCGUAGAGAUGCGGAGGAACACCGAUGGCGAAGGCAGCCCCCUGGGUCGACACUGACGCUCAGGCACGAAAGCGUGGGGAGCAAACAGG